CAGUCGCCACGGGAAUACGGAGGGUGCAAGCGUUAAUCGGAAUUACUGGGCGUAAAGCGCACGCAGGCGGUCUGACAAGUCAGAUGUGAAAUCCCCGGGCUUAACCUGGGAACUGCAUUUGAAACUGUCAGGCUGGAGUCUUGUAGAGGGGGGUGGAAUUCCAGGUGUAGCGGUGAAAUGCGUAGAGAUCUGGAGGAAUACCGGUGGCGAAGGCGGCCCCCUGGACAAAGACUGACGCUCAGGUGCGAAAGCGUGGGGAGCAAACAGGAUUAGAUACCCGAGUAGUCCCUGUCUCUUAUAU
rnacentral:rRNA from 1 species